ACUCUUCAUCUUCGCUCGCUAUUUACAAGUGUUUAUGUAAUAAAACUUACAUGGAUAAAAGAUUGAUGUAACAAUAAGGCAUUUUUUGCUAAAAUUCAAAGCAUUUGUCAUCUAUUACUCUGGCUGGACUUCUUUGAUGUGAACGAUGUGUAUAGCACAAAAAGUACAAAAGUAUAUGGCAUUUUUUGCAAAAAUUCAAAGCAUUUGUACUUACUGUCAUCUAUUACUCUGGCUGGACUUCUUUGAUGUGCACGGUGUGUAUAGCACAAAAAGUACGAAAGAAUAUGAUGAUGUGGUGGAAGAGUUUAUGAAAGAUACUGAAGAUAUGCAAGUAAAUAUAACAGUUACAUAAAGGAUGCAGCAUCAGCACUGGAAUCAGACAGUUUCACUGUUUUCACUGUUUCACUGAAAUACUUGGCUUUGGUAAUUUAUCCAAACUUGCAUUGACUUCAGCACAAGCCAUGCAAAAAAUGCAACAUACACCACAGUUUAAGCAGAUAGAAAGUUAUGAUGUACAUCCUGAAUGUCCAAGCAAAGAAUACAACAAAAAUGCUGAUAAAGACAUUGUAAGCAUUGAAGAGUAGGUCUCAUUAUAUAUUUUCACUAGAUAAGACGUACAUUUUAGUAUUUUCACCCAAAUUUGCAUUCUCUUGACAACAGACCAAGACACAAGUGCGAAAUAUAAAGCAAAGAAAUUUAUCGUUCUAUAGCAACUCCGUCAGCAACAUCAUUUAUGUUUUGCGCCAGUUCUUAAGGUGAAAACAAGCCAUUCAGUAACCAUGAUAACAAAUGAUUUUGCUACAACUGUGAUGAACAUCACAUUCGGAAAAGAUAACCUUAUCCUAGUUAUAUCCAUUAAUCUUCUUUUGAGCUUUGCCAUCAUUUUUCUGCGCACAUUAGCGGUUUUUCAGGUUUAUCAACGCAUGAGUCUCUAGGAUACAGCAAAUCAACUUGUAAUCAUAAACAUCAUUUUCUUUUCCCUGUAUUGCAAGUCCUGUCAACAAAAAAUACUAGACAGUAGAAACAAUAAAAGUAUUGUAGGAGUUGGUGAUAGUAGAGAUGACAGUAUGGGUCAUUAAAAAAAUAUUGCAUGUGCACAGUAUACAAUUAGCUCCAUUAUUUCAUUUGUUGUGAUUCACAUGAGAACUAGAUGAUAAAAAUCAAAGAUUAACCUUUUAAUUGUAUGUUUAUGCAACCUUUACAUAUUAAGCAGAACUGUACAGAAAUGGGAGACCUUGGCCACUAUGAAGCAAUUGUUUGUUUUUUUAUCACUGGAAGGAAUGACAUGCUGUCACUAAAUGGAGGAAAGGUAUUGGAUGUUAUUUUUAUUGGACUGCUACGUCAAAAUUAUCUGAUACUAAUACAAUAUUGGUGAAAAUUUCAAGGCAUGGAUUUGGCUCACUAGGGGUUAGGUUUUAUUGCAUAUAAAAAGCUAAAAGAAGCACAAGAGGCCACGAACAAUUGGUUAAACAAUUAUCUUCUACAGCACAAAUAAGGUGUUCAGAAAGAUAUCUUUCAGUUUUUAAUAUUUUGCUCCAAAGAUGAUUCAUUAUUCUUAUCAGCUGGAAUGCUUUGCAGGUGUAGCUUAACAAAAUAUCAAUAACAUAUCUAUUGAAAUAUUUAAUAAUGCUUUGCGUGUGACAUCCAAUACAUCCUGACAGCCUAACAUUUCAGUGGUAGAAGGAAAAUGUAAAACCGAGGAUGUUAAGAGCCCACAGUAAAUUACCAAAUGCGAAAUUGCUAGCAAAAAUCUGAAAUAAUGGAGCUAGCAUAUAUUGUAUAAACAAUGAGGCCUCCUGUCAUCACAUAAAUAAUACAUUAUAACAUUGCUUACUUUGCUCUGGGCUUUUAGUAUCAAGAACUCAUUUGUUCGAACUUCGAAGAAACUUUGUGAAAGCCAUAAUAGUCUAUAAUAUAAACGGUAUUGAUCAAUCUUCUUACUGGUCACACUCCCACUUGAACGAAGUAUUCAGUUGAGUUUCAUAUUGAUGCAAGUAAUCCGUAUCGGAUUCGCAAAUCGCUAUCAAACAAUGAAUCCAAAUAGAUCGAGAAAAAACAUUUACAUAUAUUCAAAUUCAUUUCUUCCCAGAAUGAUUUCGUCAUUUCCCCUCAAACAAUUCGCGCUCUUUCCUGACAUGCUUUCAUAGUUAUAUGGCGGCAACAAAAGGUCGACAGUGGAAAUGUCAGUGUAUUUUGUGUCGUGUAAUUGAACUGUUACCGUAGUGAAUCAUAAUGUUUGAUUUAAAUUGUGUACAUGGAAACAGACCGGGGCAGUGCAUAAUCGAAAUUUGAGCGAACUGGAAGAAUCUGUUUGUAUGUCCAAUGCUACCAGAGGCAAAGCGUGCCGCGUGGAUGACAUACACUGGACUAAUCUUCCCCUAAUCGUUGUUCAUGGAAACUGCUAAUAUAAUGGAAAAAAUAACAGCGAAGUGAAAUUUGAGCUCCUUAUCAUGUGACAACUGUAAUAGAAGGUAUGCAGAAAUCUUUCAAAAUCAGUAGGUGGUACAAUGAAAUAAAUCACAAAUCAGCUCAAGAGGUGGACAAGUCUGUUUGGCAGAUAUGUGACAUGGAUGGAUUUACAUGGUGGUGCAGUGUGCUAAUUAACGGUGUUUUCAAACAUUUUCAGGUUGAGGUUAGUCAACAUUAAUGAUCAUCUCUUACCUCAAGUUAUUAUGCUGCAACUAGGAUUUGUAGUUAAUGAAGAAAUGUUCUAAACAAGAUAAAAAGAUAUUAUUGUGGUGCAGAAUCUUGAAGCUGUCUAUUCUUUGUGCAUUAAAGCAAUUAUUGACUUAAGUCGAAGUUGAGUGGUCUAAAACCAACUAAAACUCACUGACAAUUCUAAUCAUGGCUUUACUUGGAUCUGUAUUGUAUGAUUUAUUAGCAGAAAAUACACAUCAAAAAAUUUCGCUCUUUUCGCAUGCAACCAACUGAUAAAGAAUAUUCUAAUACGUACCAUUGUGUACAUUUCGCGAUCUAAAGUACGGAGAUCGCUGGCGUGCGGUUGUACUAUUAACGUAGUGACAUAUAAAUGUACCUUCGUUAGAAUGUUAGUGUAAUAAAUCAUCAAAAUGCGUUUUCCUAGACGAAAAUGCGAUUGUAACAAUGUUUUGAAAAUAACAAAUCAGCUUAUUUACCAACAUUCUGUUUAUAAUCAUCUAUCGUUAAUUGCAAAUUUAUUGAUGUGAAGUAAAACAUACUUUAAAAAGUGCGCAUUUUGUGUAAUUCUAUAGAAUUCCAAUCUUAUCUUCCGAAGAAUCCGAACUUUUUGAUCUUCUUUCCUAGACUCCGAUAAUUCUCUUUGUUGAAACGCGUAGGUGGUUAAAAGUACUGUUUGAACGCGAAAUUUCCCGCCCCUCUUUGAUUGGGUGAUUUCGUUGAUACAAUCGUAGAUUUAAAUAUGUUAUUGGUCGAUAUCAGCUUAAGCCAAAACAUUUGCAACAUAUCACCUCCCCCCUCCCCUCCCCCCUUACAAAGCAAAAGUCUUGGUGCUCAUGCCAGCGGAAGUAGUCAAAUACGUGUUAAACUUUUUUCUUACUCUUGUGUAUUUGUCAUCGUUUAUUUGGUUGUUUGGUUGUAUGAGCUAUGAAAAAUUAUAUGUGUGUAUGAAUUUAUGAAAUGAAAGAGAAAAGAAAUAGUCAGAAUGUACGCGCGAGCGAUGCAAUUUUCAAACGUCGCAUGCUUCAUGAUUCCGUAAACACAUCGUCAUCAAUGUCUGUAAAACGUACAUUGAUAAUUCACUUAAGAAAGACGGCCACAAAAUAUUCCAGUGCCACAUCUUCCUCUAUGUCAUCGUUUUCAUUGGAGAAGACGCCUUACGAAAAUUUCGAUAAAAUUGUGCAAAACAUUUUCAUCAAAAGUGAAUCAUGAGCGCCGACGACGACGUUGAUAACGUUGAUCAACAAGAAUUAAACAGUGUUUUAUGUACUGAAGAAGUUGCAACUGAUUGUUGAAAUUCAUAUUCCAUUGGAAUCCUACAGUGGCAGAUACGGCCCUAUGACCGCACGAUUUGUCUCUGAAUCGAGACAAGGAAUCCAAUCAAGUUGAUGAUGCCAAUUCACUCCAAGAAACAAAUCAAGAUGAACUAAAUGGACUUGAAUCAAUAGACCUUGAGGUCAGCAAUCUCUUUGAGGACAGCAGGCAGAAUAUGGACUGUCAUCUUGAUUUUAUGUCGGUUCCUCCGGAACUUUGAUGACUGUUAUUUGUUAUGGCAUGUCGAAAUACAAUUUGUCUUUUUACAACCAUUGAAAUUGUUAAUGAUCAUAAAUAUUACAUCCAUAUGCAAUUGUUUAGCAAUCUCAAUAA